AAUUCAGAUAGACUUUAAAGAAGCUCUCCAUCCAAGUAAACCUGACGCAGAAAAUGCAGGUGCAGAUAAAUGCUUAGGAGGUGACCACACUUGGCCAUUUCCUGCAAGGGCCCUGCCCCAAGAGUGAGCGGCCAAUGGGGAGCUGGUUCUGCUGACAUCAGUCACCUGGGAGGUGCCCAGGAGAUCGCGUCUGCCCGAGUCUGCCCAGCGGAAGAUGGCUCGUGCCCACCCUGGGACAGAGCCCAGCUCCUGAGGUCCCUACCAUGGUGAUGAUCCUGAGUCAAAGCCGCGACUCCCAGGGCGCCGACUGUGUAACGUGCAGGACCUUCGCCUCUGAGCUGCACACGCCAAAGAAGAUGAGUCACGGACCGACACUUUUCUCUUGUGGAAUUAUGGAAAAUGACAGAUGGCGAGACCUGGACAGGAAGUGCCCCCUUCAGCUUGACCAGCCGAGUGCCAGCAUCUGGGAGUGCCUGCCUGAGAAGUGCCCAGACGGCGCCCUGUGGCACCAGGAGGCGGCGACCGCCUGCGCGGUGACCAACCUGAUCAAGGACCUCAGCCUCAGCGACCACAACGGGAACCCCUCCGCGCCCCCCAGCAAACGCCAGUGCCGGUCGCUGUCCUUCUCUGACGAGAUGUCCAGCUGCCGGAGCUCGUGGCGGCCGCUGGGGUCCAAGGUCUGGACUCCGGUGGAGAAGCGGCGCUGCUACAGCGGGGGCAGUGUGCCCCGCUACGCCGGCGGCCUGGGCACCAUGCAGAGGAGCUCCAGCUUCAGCCUGCCGUCCCGGGCCAGCGCGCUCUCCUCGCCCUGCGACCCCGCCGGCUUCCACCACCGCUUCGGCCAGCCCUGCCAGGGGGCACCUGGCCCGGCCGCCUGCGGACAGGCGGGCGACAUCUGGAGCCCCGACCUCCACCCCGUGGGGGGGACCCGGCUCGACAUGCAGCGGUCACUCUCCUGCUCCCACGAGCAGUUUUCCUUCGCGGAGUUCUGCGCGCCCUCCGCCAGCAGCACCCCCGCCUCCACGCCCGAGCUGGCCCGGCGCCCCAGCGGGCUGUCCCGCAGCCGCUCCCAGCCCUGUGUCCUCAACGACAAGAAGGUCGGCGUCAAACGGCGGCGCCCCGAAGAGGUGCAGGAGCCCCGGCCUUCCCUAGACCUGGCCAAGAUGGCCCAGAACUGCCAGACCUUCAGCAGCCUCAGCUGCCUGAGCUCCGGGAUGGAGGACCGCAGCCCCCGCAGCCCCUUUGCCCUCCACGUCAGCAGCACCCGGUCCUGGACCGCCUUGCUCUCCGCCUCGGCCUCCGGCCCCGGGGGCAGGACCCCCGCCGGGACCCCAGUCCCUGAGCCGCUCCCGCCCUCCUUCGACGACCACCCCGCCUGCAGGGAGGAGCUGUGCUGUGAGGAGCCCGAGGGCUGCGGCCUGGACGAGGCCUGCGGCAGGCGGGGGGAGCCGGCCCUGGCCUGGAGGGACCGUGGGGCUGCCGGGAGCAGCCCCUGCUCCCUGGACGGCGAGCUGGAUAUCGAACAAAUAGAGAAUAACUGAGGGGCCGUGGGGCCCUGGUCAGGGGUGGGGUGCACUAGGUCCACGGCCCCCCUCUGGGCACGAGAUGGGCACUUGAAUGGGGAGCCCCACUCCUGGGCCUGACGAAAGCUUCCUGGAGGCUUCGGGUCCAGAGAGUGAGCCCACUGCCCUCCCGCAGAGGCCGUCCAGCCUGCAGGCGCCCUGGCCCAGGGCGGGACCCGGCCCCGCCACGCCACAUGGUGGAAUGGAGCGCCCGGCCCACAGAACUGCUGUAGCCGCCAGCACAGCUCCUGGGCUUGGGUCUCUCCCCCUUUUCCUCGUGGGACAUUGUCCGCGAGCAUCCCAGGCACCCCCGCUGGGCCCCGCUCUGCAUGCUGGCCCUGGCUGGAGUUCCCACCCCUCGGGGCUUAUCGGGGGCUCAGGCCCGUCCGGUGGUGUCAGGCCCUUCUUGGCCUCCUGCUCAGGUUCCGUCUGGGGGAGUCGGCCCCACAGUUUCUUUCACUCAGUUUUAUUCUGUGCCUUUCCUCCCGGGUCUCCCGCUUCAGGCUUGGGAAGGUCCAGGAGACGCCUCCUUCUGUAGCAACACCAGAACCAUGUGGCCUUAAUUCCAAGUGUGGGCAGAGGCCUGGGUGCCGGGGGGCCCUCUGCGGCUGAACUCUUGGGCCCAGGGAACGUGGGUGCUUGUUAGAGGCCGUCUGUGUUGGGUAGACAUUAGGAGGCUCUCUGCCGCUCCAGGGGCCGCUUCGGCAGGGCUGGCAGGUGGGAGCAUUCCCCGUGCCAACCUGUCACUGAGGGAUAAGCUUAGUGAUUCAGGUGAGUGGAGAGAUGUCACCAUAAUAGGGCAACAUCUUGAAAAUGUCCUCAGGAGGCAGGAGCUGUGAGCAGGGGCACAAACCUGGCCCUGUGCCCACUUCAGGGGUGUAGGUAUCUGCUGGCUGCUCUGGGGGGCUGGGUCCAGGGCCUGCACAGCCCCCUGCUGGAUUCCAGGAGUAUUCUCAUUGGUGGUGGGGACUGUUGGCUUUAAUCAGGGUGCCCCAUCCACCUUGAGACAGGCCCCCUGCGGCUCAGCUAGGGGAGCAGAGUGUAUUCACGGCCGCCUCCUUGCCGCAGCCCCGCCCCAGGCACAGAGCUUGAGGAACACUCCCACCCUCCCCGGCUCCUCGCACCCGGCUCCUCACAUCCUGGCAGACUCCCUGGUGGCGGCGGCAAGGAGCCCUGCCCCUGAGGUUUCACUCCGGCAGCUCCCGUCCUGCCCAGCUGUAGACGCACCGUGUGGCUGCUGCUCUCUUGAAAUCAGGCUUUUAGCAAACCCGGCAUCUUCCGCAGACAGCAGCAACUGGGUCGGCUUAUGAGCAAGUGGCUCUUUUUCUCAAAAGCCUAGAAAUAACCGGCGCGCCCUGGAGUUCGCCGGUGCGUGAUGAAGGCGCUUCUGCAGUCGUUCUGCCUCGUUUCUGCAGGGGAAUAGAGCUCUCACCUUUUCCCUAAAGAGAGAGUCUAUUGGGAAGCUUUACUUAAACCUUCACUUUUUUAUAUCAAAAGGGGUGGCUCAGGUUCUGAUUCACAGGUGGCUUUUUCCGCAAAUCAGCCAUAAGAUGCUUGCAGAAAAUCCAGCCAGUGGCCUCGGGGGGGGGUGUGAAAUCUCCGGUUGGAGAGCAUAGUGGGGGUGUGGGCCCUGGGGAGGGCCUGGGACGCAACCAGCUUCGCCCGAGCGGCUCCCGCCGACGGCACGUCCCCUCAGGGCUGUGGAGAGCCCAGCCAGGGUACACAGGAUGUCUCGCCCGGUCUCCAUCUGGCAGGUUGUGGAGGUCACGUCUUCUUAGAGGUAACCCAGAUGACGCUGGGGCAGUUGUCAGGUGACAUCGGGCAGCAUAUGAAUUUGGAGAGCACGUGCUGGGUCUUCGUGUCCUCAGAGAGCCUGGGAGGGAGGGACUAGCAUUUGGCCCACGCUAAGGAGAGUGGCCACAGAGGGACCAUGACCUCUAAAGCGGUCCUUCUUGAGGAAGGAGAGGCAGGGCCUCAUCUCCUGGUCCACACUGCAGGUGACCACAGUGAGGGAAGGAAGCUGAGCCAGGACAGGCCUGGGCGGCAGCACCCAGGUGCCUUUCCUUGGGCGUCGGAGGGAAGGCCUGUGGUGGUGGGUGUCACAGGGCUGGGGUGCAGGUAGCCUCUCAGACCCCCCUCCAUCGCCCAAACUGGUCUCACUGACUGGCAACCCCAGCCCCAGGGCACUCAGGCAGAAGGGACCCCAGCCCAUGGCAGGGUGUGGCCCUUUCCAGUCUCUCAGGCCCCUCUUGGCUAGGCCUGACCCCACAGAAACUCCUGACCCAAGCCCACGGCGGCCGCAGUGAGAGGAGAGACAGCCUGUGUCCCUUCUGCUCCGAGGGGAGAUGGCCUUCAGUUGGUUUCAUGUUUGUCUUUUGGUUGGAGAGAGCAGACUUCAUCUAGAAGUUUCUGCCACUCUGCCCGGCGAGGGCCGUUCUGGUCCACCCCACUGGCCCCUUCUGGUCUUGUAGCUCUUGGAGGGAGGCUCACCCAGGAGGCUCUGUCUGACCCCAUGGGACUGUCCCCAAGGGCAGUGGGCGGGCUGGUGGCUCACCCUGCAGGAGCCUCACUUUAGUUGGAGUCCUGCCUCUCGCUGCCGAUGCCCAUGAACUCUUGCCUCUGAGGGGACACUGAGGAAGUCAGAGCCAGGAGGGAGGGCUGUGCCCGACCGCCCACCUGCACAGAGGUCCCUGCAGGACGAGAGCAGGGUCAUGGCUUCGGGGCAGCAGGGUGGGGCGGAGUCACUUGCUGUCACAGCCCCACUGGUCCCACAGGAGCAUCCUCUCGCAGGGCCUCGAGAUGGUGUUGAAACCUGUCUGCCGUGGGUGCUGGGCGGGCUCAGUGGCAGCCUCUCGUUUACAUUGCCACAAAUCCUCUUGCCUUAUUCGAGGUGGCCAGGCUGGCCCAGGGCCCACAGGCACACACGACACCCAGGCCACAGGGGACCUUGUUCUGACCAUACAUACGGAUUUUCAUUCUCGGAAAGCCUUACUUUUCAACAGAAUUUUUGUAGCAGGAAAGUUUUGUGAAUUUGUAUGCUGAAAGAAAACUUCAAUAAAGGAGAAGGCCACGUGAUAAAGAAAACCAAAA